rnacentral:rRNA from 1 species
CUUUGAAAAAUUAGAGUGUUUAAGCAGGCUAACGCCUGAAUACAUUAGCAUGGAAUAAUGAAAUAGGACGUUUGAUCCUAUUUUGUUGGUUUCUAGGAUUGACGUAAUGAUUAAUAGGGAUAUUGGGGGCAUUAGUAUUCAAUUGUCAGAGGUGAAAUUCUUUGGAUUUAUUGAAGACUAACUACUGCGAAAAGCAUUUGCCAAGGAUGUUUUCAUUAAUCAAGAACGAAAGUUAGGGGAUCGAAGACGAUCAGAUACCGUCGUAGUCUUAACCAUAAACUAUGCCGACUAGGGAUCGGAUGAUGUUAAUUUUUAAUGACUCAUUCGGCGCCUUACG